CAGAUCGCUGUCGGAGUAGCGGCGGAGGAUCCACGUCGGAGAGGCUAACGGCGCCGCCAUGGAAGGAUUGCGACACUUGCUCCACUGUGAACGAAUGAUUGUAAAGGUCGGAAGAAUAUUGAUCCCAAGAAAAUAGACACCACUGCUCUAAUUCAUGCAAACCCAUCUUCAAAUAUUCUCCAUUGCUGAAUGAACAACAUUCUCGGCGAAGCAACAAACUGCCAGAAAAUAACAUUUGGGGAGUCGUCUUCUCUACGGUUGCUACCUGGCUGCGAAGAGAUUCAUUCUCCAACACUAAAAUUGCAAUUCUCUCCCUGAGACUGGCCAAAGGGUUUAGAGUUACUUACCAGUCAAACAGCCUGGAGUAUACUGUCUUGGCUAAAGCAUCACGACUUAGAGCAGCUGAACCUGGGUCAAG